rnacentral:rRNA from 1 species
AGCAGUAGGGAAUCUUCCACAAUGGGCGAAAGCCUGAUGGAGCAACGCCGCGUGUGUGAUGAAGGGUUUCGGCUCGUAAAACACUGUUGUAAGAGAAGAAUGACAUUGAGAGUAACUGUUCAGGUAUUGACGGUAUUUAACCAGAAAGCCACGGCUAACUACGUGCCAG